rnacentral:rRNA from 1 species
CGCCUUGCCAGCCCGCUCAGAACUCAAAGGAAUUGACGGGGGCCCCGCACAAGCGGUGGAGCAUGUGGUUUAAUUCGAUGAUACGCGAGGAACCUUACCUGGGCUCAAAUGUAUGUUGACGUAUUCUGAAAGGGAUACUUCUUCGGACAAUAUACAAGGUGCUGCAUGGUUGUCGUCAGCUCGUGCCGUGAGGUGUCGGGUUAAGUCCCAUAACGAGCGCAACCCCUAUCAUUAGUUGCCAUCAGGUCAAGCUGGGGACUCUAAUGAAACUGCCUACGCAAGUAGUGAGGAAGGUGGGGAUGACGUCAAAUCAGCACGGCCCUUACGUCCAGGGCUACACACGUGCUACAAUGGUCGGUACAAAGGGUUGCCAAGCCGCGAGGUGGAGCUAAUCCCAUAAAACCGAUCGUAGUCCGGAUCGCAGUCUGCAACUCGACUGCGUGAAGUCGGAAUCGCUAGUAAUCGUGAAUCAGAAUGUCACGGUGAAUACGUUCCCGGGCCUU